UUCAGAUGCCUCAAUGUCCACUGCCCAUGGAUAAGAGACCACAGCUCAGAGACAUUUUCUAAGGAGGCCAAAAUGCCUCCACAAAGGAGGCCCAGCAUGAUCCAGAGAGGUGGACACCCAGAGCCCUUUCUGCAGCACAUGGAGACCGGCUGGGAAGCAGAUGACCUGCUUCCAGGCUGAGUGCAGGGCAAACUGGACAGUGCCCACUCCCAGGUACAUGCUGACAUCUCUUCCACCUGAGCAGUGCCAGGCUCUGCUUCAGAACCUGGUAUGAUGGCACAGAGAAGUCCCCUGAACCAGCAGUCAACAGGCUAUGAGGGUGCAGUGUGGGGAAAGCAGUCAAGCCCGCGCGGCGCGAUUGUGAGGGGCUCUGCUGGAAUUUGGCAGCGCAGAGGCUUGGAGAGCUGCCCCAUGCUGGCUCCUAUUCAGCGGGCCGGUUUUCCUCGAGCUUUGGAAGUUUCACUCAGCCAUGCACUCAAUGGCUUCACAAAGCUGAUUACAAGCUUCAGCGCAUUCCUGAAGGAGCCAAAAGCGACGCAGGUGCAAACGAGCCGAGGGAGCCCCUUAUCCCGGUGACAGAAUGGGACAAGCUGGGAAAGGCUUGGACCACACAAAUCCAAGGCUCACCAGGCAGCAGAAAGCCUGCCUUGGGAACCGGGGGUCAUUAUCCGCCCUAUUCAGCGGGGCCCGGGGACCCUGGGGGC